rnacentral:rRNA from 1 species
UACGGAGGGAGCGAGCGUUGUCCGAAGUUACUGGGCGUAAAGCGCGCGUAGGCGGGGAAUUAAGUGAGAAGUGAAAGGCUGGGGCUUAACCCCAUGCAGUGCUUCUCAUACUGGUUCUCUUGAGGGUGGUAGAGAGAAGUGGAAUGGCUGGUGUAGCGGUGAAAUGCGUAGAUAUCAGUCGGAACACCAGUGGCGAAGGCGGCUUCCUGGACCAACACUGACACUGAUGAGCGAAAGCCAGGGGAGCAAACGGG